rnacentral:sRNA from 1 species
GCCACGUGUGGUGGCACACGCCUGUAAUCCCAGCAGCUCGGGAGGCUGAGGCAGGAGAAUCUCAAGUUCAAAGCCAGCCUCAGCAAAAGCGAGGUGCUAAGCAACUCAGUGAGACCCUGUCUCUA